CAUGGUAAACAUCGUCUUCUUCUGAUCCAGUGUAAGCUCUACCAUUCAAUUAAAAAAUAUCGAGGCCCAUAAAAAUACGACACCCAUGCCCAAGAAAAACAGCACAACAACCUCCAAGUCCAAGCAGCUAGCCUGCUGAAAACAAAAUAGGCUAGCCGUUGAAAUUCAAAAGUACAUGCCCUUAAACGAUUCCCGUUGAAAAUAUGGAGGGGCAUCUGAGUUCAUAAAAGAGAUCGAAUGCUUGGAAUGUCAUGCUGCAGAGCUAGUCUCUGACAACAUCAGUUCUAGGCCGAGUUAUUGAGGAAGGAUGAUAUUCUAAAGGGACUGUUAUUUCAUCCGAGCCCGUUGCAGGGGUCUGCAUCUAACACUAAGGAUCAAAAGGAUAAAUUGGAGCCGGUAACUCAAGUUCAAGAACAGGUGAGAGAGAUCAGCCCCAGAUGGAGACUCAUAGUUCAGAAGAAAAGCUGGAAAGCACAAAGUCUUGGGCUGAAGAAACUGAAGCUAUUGCAGUACUAGAGGCCCCACAGAUAGCUGAAUCUGGAAAGAUCUAUGCUGAAGAAAAAGAAGUUCAGGCGAAGCUACUUGAGAGAUCUGUUAAAGAGCUAGAAUGCACCACUAAUGUGCUAUAAACAAGGUUGACAUUCUUAAAGCAGAAGCAGAACGACAAAGAAUGCAGAGAGAAGAGCUCGGAGAUUGAGCUUCAUUCAGUAAAACAUCAGGCAUUUGGAGGAGAAGGAGAGAGGCCUUGAAGAUGCACUGAAUCAUAUACAAAUCCUUGAAAGGAAUAUAUCUAACAAGGAAGCAGAGAUUUCCCAGUUCAAGGCACCUAUCACUGAGCUAAAUUUGCAUUCAGAAGCACAGGCUAGUGAGUAUAAACAGAAGUUCAAGGCAUUGGAAGGCAUGGUUGAACAAGUAAAACCUGAGGGCCAUUUCACUCAUAGCAUGAGCUCUUCGUCGAACAAGUCCGAGAAAAAUGCUGCCAAGUCCAGUGGUUCUGAUUCCCCUUUCAAAUGCAUUGGUUUAGGCUUGGCACAACAAAUAAAAUAUGAGAAGGAUGAGGACCUUGCGGCGGCAAGACUGCGUAUUGAAGAGCUAGAAUCCUUAGCAGUUAAUCGACAGAAAGAGUCACUGUCAGAUGAUAAACAAGUGGAGAAUAUUGUAGAAAAAGCUCACCUUGGAGCCUCAAGUAAAGGUUUUUUUAGCUUUGGUAUUGCCUUGGAAACCCACAUGUGAAUUCUCUUAAUGGUUUCCACUGUCCAUAUAGGAGCAGGAAGUUACCAAGCUUAAGCAGCAGCUCAGUGAGUUUAUUGAGGAGAGACAAGGGUAAGCAUCAAAGGUAUUAUCUUCUUCAUAUGGAAUUUAACUUACCGAGUCCCUUUAUACCAGCGAGUGUUUGAUCCACGUGCUAUUCUUUACAAGAAAUCAUCAAAGGUCUUCCUAAGGGAUUAAAGAUUGUUGAUCUUUCAGCGGUAUGCUUUGUGUUCCUGUAUGUUGUCUUGUUUAAGCCAGCAUGCAAUAAUUUGAAAACUCAGAGUUUGCUAAUGUCAAGUCUUAUCUUGUAAUGUGUUUAGGACUUCCGAUCGAUUACGAGAUAUUUCUGAGUAUGAAUGUUGUUUGAGGUAUGAUUUUUCGGCCUAUAUUUUAGGUUGUGGAUAGAUUUUAGUGGCUCACUUGCUUCAGCUUUUCUGCCUAGGAAGAGGUAGGUACAGCAUUUAAUUGAAUUGUAAUGGUAUGGUGGCACUGAUUUCAUAGCAGUUUUCUUUUUCGAGUUUAUGAACUUUGAUCCGUUUGUUUGUGCACAGACGGAAUGAAAUAAAUGUUUUGCUUGUUUAA